AUGAUGCUGCCCGCUUCAAUUUCCUCAGCUUCAGCACCAAAUAGUCACGUCAGCCAGCUGAGCAGAUACACGAGCAGCCACCUCAACACGCCCGAGGAGGACGAUGAGACCAUGAGCCUCACGGAGCGAGAAGCCCGGGACCCCUCCCCAAAACGCGACGGACGCCGACCAGAGAACUCCACCUCCGCCGACGGCUCCCUGUUCAGCGCGAUGGGGCCGGACACAGAGCGGGGACGCCCACGCGGCGGCGCUCUCCCCCAGCCCGGCCCGAGCUACUGCUCCUACCGGCCGCACAGCAACGCGGCUGCUUACGGUCAGCCCACUCCGUUUCCCAGCCAGGCCGAGGGGCCGUGGCUCCACCCGAGCUUUGCCAGCGGCUGGUCGGGGUAUCCCAACAGCCUGCCGUCGUACUUGAGCCAGAAGGAUUACUCCUGCUGCUCCGCGGAGAGCUGCCACUCGGGGAACAAGUGCCUGGCCCUCCCCCGCGGACACAGCACCCCGAUGAGCAGCCUGGAGCAGCCGCUCUCCUUGCACUCCAACCCGCCGUCGACCGACCUGCGUCACCACACCCUGUCUCCGUACGCGUGCUCGCCGCCGGGAGCCGCCUGCUGCGCCCAGUGCCAGGCAGACACCUUCAACAGGGGUCUUAUGGCCAACAGCCCCCCUGGGCCUCCGUACCACCCAGCGUAUAGCCCGUACUCUCCAGGUGACUACAGACUUCCUGGAGCUGGAUACACACAGAUGUGA
rnacentral:lncRNA from 1 species